ensembl:snoRNA SNORD18 Small nucleolar RNA SNORD18
CUGCAGUGAUGAGCUUCCACUUCGGUCCGUGUUUCUGAAUCCUGAUACCCAACAGAAGUUCUGAGUUU